rnacentral:rRNA from 1 species
AAUCAACGCUGGCGGCGUGCCUCAGACAUGCAAGUCGAACGAUUAAACUUUCCUUCGGGGAAGAUAUAAAGUGGCGCACGGGUGAGUAACACGUAAGUAAUCUACCUUCGAGUGGGGAAUAACAUCGGGAAACCGAUGCUAAUACCGCAUAACGCAGCGGCAUCUUAUGGUGACAGUUGUUAAAGGAGCAAUUCGCUUGAAGAGGAGCUUGCGGCAGAUUAGCUAGUUAGUAAGGUAAUGGCUUACCAAGGCUUCGAUCUGUAUCCGGUCUAAGAGGACGGUCGGACACACUGACACUGAAUAACGGGUCAGACUCCUACGGGAGGCAGCAGUCGGGAAUUUGGGCAAUGGGCGAAAGCCUGACCCAGCAACGCCGCGUGAAGGAUGAAGUAUUUCGGUAUGUAAACUUCGAAAGAAUGGGAAGAACUCAAUGACGGUACCAUUUAUAAGCUCCGGCUAACUACGUGCCAGCAGCCGCGGUAAUACGUAGGGAGCAAGCGUUGUUCGGUA